AUGGGAUUUUUGCUCCUUGUAAUUUUGGCUGUAGCAGCUUUGGAAGGUGUCCGGUGCCAGGUGCAGCUGGUGGAGUCCGGAGGGGAUGUGAAAAAACCCGGAGACUCUCUCCGCCUCUCCUGCAAAGCCUCCGGGUUCACCUUCCGCAGCGCCUACAUGAGCUGGGUCCGACAGCCUCCUGGGAAGGGACUAGAAUGGGUGGCUGCUAUAUACCCUGGUGGGAGUAGUACAUACUACCUUGAUUCAGUGAAAGGCAGAUUCACCAUCUCCAGGGAUGAUUCCAAGAGUGAGCUGUAUCUGCAAAUGACCGGCCUGAAGCCCGAGGACACCGCCCGCUAUUACUGUGCGAGAGACACAGUGAAACAAAACCAGUUUGUGCUCAUACAAAAACCCAGGCUGCGCAAUCGCCCUUCUCCCGGCAGCCGGGCGGGGGCAGCAGUGACACACACACUGCUCCGGGCUCGGACAGGAGACCCUGCAACUGCGUGA